rnacentral:rRNA from 1 species
UACGUAGGGGGCGAGCGUUGUCCGGAUUUACUGGGCGUAAAGGGCGCGUAGGCGGUCAGCACAAGUCAGUUGUGAAAUCUCCGAGCUUAACUCGGAAAGGUCAACUGAUACUGUGCGACUAGAGUGCGGAAGGGGCAACUGGAAUUCUUGGUGUAGCGGUGAAAUGCGUAGAUAUCAAGAGGAACACCUGCGGCGAAGGCGGGUUGCUGGGCCGACACGUGACGCUGGAGGCGCGAAAGCUAGGGGAGCGAACGGGAUUAGAUACCCGUUG